rnacentral:lncRNA from 1 species
CCAAACCAAACAAGAAAACCAAAUCUAAAUCGAAAGAGAGAGAAAUACUGAGAGAGAAAGAAAUCUCUCUUCUUUCUUUUUUUCUUUUUCCAGAUUCUCCCCAUUUAUAACUCAUGGCGGCAUCUGUUGAAAAUAGGCAGUUCAGUCACCUUGAACCGGGUUUAUCUGGCGUUUCCCGGUCUUUCAAGCCCCGGUCUGAUUCCCCGAUUCGUGGUUGCAACUUCCCGCCGUCCAAUCACGAACUCCCAUUCCAAAAGCAACCGAAUAUGCCCAUGUACUACUCGUCGAGUGAAGAUGAGGAUGAUGACGACGACAAAAAUGAAUACCUUCAAAUGAUCAAAAAAGGUAAAACUGAAUUAGAACCAUCUGUUCAUGACACAAGAGACGAAGGAACCGCUGAUAAUUGGAUUGAAAGAAACUUUUCUUUAAUUCGUCUUACUGGCAAACACCCAUUUAACUCUGAACCGCCUUUGGCUCGGCUCAUGCACCACGGUUUUAUUACCCCGGUCCCACUUCAUUAUGUUCGCAACCACGGUCCGGUUCCCAAGGCCUCAUGGGCUGACUGGAGUGUGGAAGUCACGGGACUAGUGAAACGCCCAAUGAAGUUCACAAUGGACCAGUUGGUUAACGAUUUUCCCUUGAGAGAAUUCCCCGUUACGCUUGUAUGUGCUGGCAAUAGAAGGAAAGAACAGAAUAUGGUUAAGCAAACUAUCGGUUUCAACUGGGGUGCCGCUGCCAUUUCAACUACUGUAUGGGGCGGGGUACCCCUCCGCGUCUUGUUGAAACGAUGUGGUGUUUACACCAAGAAAAAAGGGGCGCUUAACGUUUGUUUCGAAGGUUCUGAUGUGUUGCCUGGAGGUGGUGGUUCAAAGUACGGUACAAGCAUUAAGAAAGAAUUCGCUAUGGAUCCAGCGAGAGAUAUUAUCGUGGCUUUCAUGCAGAAUGGAGAAAUGUUGACGCCGGACCACGGGUUUCCUGUAAGGAUGAUAAUUCCAGGAUUCAUUGGUGGAAGAAUGGUGAAAUGGCUCAAGAGAAUUGUUGUUACUACACAAGAAUCAGAUAGCUAUUAUCAUUACAAAGAUAAUAGAGUUCUCCCUCCUCAUGUUGACGCUGAACUUGCAAACGCUGAAGGUAUAUAGUAAUUAUUUACUCUAAAAGAGGAUUUAAAUGGCAGUUAUUUAAAUAAAUUAUUCAUACAUAUUAAAUAAAUUAGAGUAGUCUAAAGACAAAAUAGAAAGUUGUCAGCUUUUAUAGUUGAAGUGUUUGUAUAAAAUUCAUGUUAACUUGUAUAUAUAUAUAUAUAUAUAUAUAUAUAUAUAUAUAUUUUUUUAUAUUGAUAGUGACCUACACGCGCUGCCACAUCAUGCCACAUCAUUUUUUUAAUAUAAUAAAUUGAUUACUUUUCCUUUUCUCUUUAAUUCUUUCCUCCCUCUCCUUCCUUCCCCUGCACAGCUAAGCAGCUUCAAUGGCCGCACAAAAAAAUUUCAGUUUCUUCCUCAUUUUCUUUGUUUUAAUGCAAUAUCUUUCUUCUUCAGGUAGUUUUCUUUUUCUGUUACUUUCACUGAUUAAGACGCGAAUCAACUUUUUUCUUAUAUCAAAUAUAUACUUUACCGCUUUCCGAAAAAGAAAAAAAAUCUGCCUUCUUUCACUACUGUUUUUUGCCGGAAUGGCUUUACAGUCGUCGGUGAAACUUUUUCGACCACCGAAUCAGUCCUAUCAUGAGCACAUCAAUGAUGCACACCAACAUCAAAAGGAAUUAAUUGUAGAAUCACCUCAUAACUCUCCGAAAUUCAAAAAUAUUAAAACGCUCAGUGGGGAAGUUUCGGAUGAGAAGAUGGGAUUUGGUGCACAAUUUCUGGCAAGAAACACCGCUGGACAGUGACGGCGUCGACAAAAUUUAAAAUUCCGACGACUUUAUUUUUUUCGAUGAAUUCAGCAUUCUUAACGUCAAUCAAUUUCUGGGAAGCUAAGGAAUGAUUCUAACCCAGAAAUUGAUUCGAAUUUCCCAAUCUGAAUUGAUUCAACAUUCUCAACGUCAAUUUGAAAUUGGGUUAAUUGAUUGACUUUGAGAAUGCAAAAAUUAACCCAGAAAAAAUCUACUUACAUAUCAGUGAACAUCGUUGAUUCGUAAAAGAAAAUUUGAAAUUCCCAAUCUGAAUUGAUUCAAUAAGGUAAUAAUAUGGUAAAGAUUUUAAAAAUUAACAAAGAGAAAAUUAAGCGAUGAAAGAAGGAAAAAUCAUGUAAAAAAAAUAAAACUUUUUCACUACACCUUCCAUGCCACCUCAGCAUUUAGGGAGGAAAAUAUUUCAAUUUAAAAAUGUUUAGGGGGGUCAUAGGACCCCUAUAAAGUAUAAGUGUGUAGUUGGAAUUUAGGGUAAAGGUUGGGGAGGUAUUUGGCCAUUUUCUCUGCAUUAUAAUAAGGCAUGAAUGUUAAAGUAUUUAAAAGGCAUGAUAGAAAAUUGAUUGCUUCUCAAAUAUUUUGCAGUGUUGCUUAAAUUGGGAUAACUAUUUGAAAAUAAUAUAAAAAAAUACUAUAAAUAAUAAUAAUAAUUAACAACUUAAAAUCCAAAAUGAGGAGCUUAGGGUCGUUUUUUUUUUAAAUGACAACUAAGCUCCUCAAAGUUUCAUUUAUUAUUAUUUGAAGAUUUUUAUAGAAUUACUUAUAUUUAUUUAAAAUUUUUGUAAAAAAAAUUAUACAUUAUAACAAUUAAUGUUAAAAUAUUUAAAAGGCAUGAUAAAAAAUUGAUUGCUUCUCAAAUUUUUUGCAAUGUUGCUUAAAUUGGGAUAACUAUUUGAAAAUGAUAUAAAAAAUACUAUAGAUAAUAAUAAUUAACAACUUAAAAUAUUUAAAAGAUAUAUAAAAUUAAGAAUGAGAGGAGCUUUGAAUCAACUUUAAAAAGUGAUAAAUAAGUUCCUUAAAUUCCCACUUAUAUUUUUGUGAUGAGCUUAGAGUCAGUUUGGAAAAUGAAUGAGAGUGAAUGAUGAGCUUAGGGUCAUUUUUAAAAAUGACAACUAAGCUUCUCAAAGUUUCAUUUAUUAUUAUUUGAGGAUUUUUUUAAAACUAUUUAUAUUUAUUUUAAAUUUACGUAAAACAUACUAUACACAAUACUUAAUUUAAAAAUAUUUAAAAGGCAUGGUAAAAAAAUUGAUUGCUUCUCAAAAUUUUUGCGAUGUUGCAUAAAUUGGUAUAAUUAUUUGAAUGAUGUUAAAAAUAUUAUGAAUAAUAAUAAUUAACAACUUACAAUAUUUAAAUGACAUUACUUUACUCUAUAUAAUAAGAGUGAAUAGGAGAGGAAGUGUGCAGCUUCCGGUCGUCCUGCUUGUCGACCGUUUAGCUGCUUGCUCCAUAAUUUUACUAUAUCGCCCCUAAUUAAUUAUUGUAUGUCUUCUACAUAUUAGAAAAUUAAUAAUAUUUAAUAAAAAAAGUAAAAUAGACAUUUAUGACAUGUUUGCUUCAGUUGCUUCAACCAUAAUUUAAUUAUAUCACCCAUAAUCAAUUAUUAUGAGUCAUCUAAGUAUUAAAAAUUUAAUAUUAAAAAAUUAAUUUUCAAAAAUUAUUAUAGAAUCAUUUAAGUAUUAAAAAAUUAAUAAUAUUUAAUGUUGAAUUAACUUGACGUCAAAUAUGAGGUACCCUUAAUUUUUUUUCCACAAGUAAUUUUUUAUAAUAAUUUUGUUAUAUCACUUCUAAUUAGUUAUUAUAAAUCAUUUAAGACGUCUAAUUUGCUGCUUCAAUCAUGAUUUUACUAUAUCAUCCCUAAUUAAUUAUUAUGACCAUCUAAAAAUUGUGCCACUUAAAUUGGAAUAGAAUUAAAAUAUUAUAAAUCACAAUAAUUAAAAAAUUAAAUUAUUUAAGAAAUAUGAUUGACAAUCAAUGCCAACAAAGUUUGGACAAAGAGAAUAACAUAUAUUAUUUGAAUAUUAAUAAAAAGUAUUAUAAAUUGCAAUAGCUAACAACUUAAAAUAUCAAAAAAAAAAUUAAUCUGUCAUAUAUGUUUAAAAAAUACAUAAAAAAUACUAUACAUCACAUUAAUUGACAACUUAAAAAAUUUAAAGAUUAAUCUGUCUGUUAUGACACAACUUCAUUGGUCCUUUUCCUUGCCUUCUUUUUUUCAUCCAUUUUAAUUUGUUUGUCUUAUUUUUUUAAUUUGUUUUAUACUUCAAAAAGAUACAAAAAAAAAAAAUCAUGUAAAUCACAAUAAUUAAUAACUUAAAAAAUUUAAAAGAUAUAAAAUAUUUGACUGAAUCUCAAAAUUAUUCAUUGUCACUUCAUUUGUAAUAAAAGAAAAAGUAUUAUAAAUCACAGUAAUUAAAAAGUUAAACCAUUUUAAAACUAUAAUUGACUAUUAGUACCACAAAAUUUUGGACAAGGAAAGUAACAUAUAUUAUUUUAAAAUAACAUAAAAUAUAUUAUAAAUUAUAAUAUUUAACGACUUAAAAUAUCUAAAAAAAAAUCUGUUAUAUAUUCCUAAAAAAUAAGUAAAAGAUACUAUAGAUCACAAUAAUUAACAACUUAAAAAUUUAAAAGAUAUAAAAUAUUUGGUUGACUCUUUAAAUUAUAUCAGCGCCACUUAAAUUGAAAUAGUUAAAAAUGUAAUUGAAUAUCAACGUUACAAAAGUUUGGACGAGGAGAGUAACAUGUAUUGUUUGAAAAUUACAUAAAAAAGUAUUAUAAAUUACAAUAAUUAACAAGUUAAAAUAUCUAAAAAAAAUAAUUUGUUACAUAACAACUUAAUUUUUUUUAAAAUAUAAAAUAUUUGGUUGACACUCUAAAUUAUAUCUGUGACACUUAAAUUGGAAUUAAAAAAAGAUAUUAUAAAUCCCAAUAAUUGAAACUUAAAGUAUUCUAAAAAUAUAAUUAACUAUCGAUGCCACAAAAAUUUGAACAAGUAGAGUAACAUGUAUUAUUUACAAAUUACAUAAAAUGUAUCAUAAAUUACGAUAAUUAACAACUUAAAAUAUCUAAAGCAUAUUAAAAAUAUGUUUAAUUAUCUAAAUUUCAUUUAUAUCACAUAUGAAACUAAAAAAUAAAAUAUAUUGGGCCUGUGCUGGCAUGAGCCGCCACAUCUAAUACAUAGAAUAAGUAUAAAAGAAAUUAAAAUAGAAUGGAGAGACAAUUAUGAAUUUAAUAAUAAAUCAAGAUAAAAUAAGGAAAGAAAAUAAAAAAUCAUAAACAAUGGUAAAAUAUUUCUCUUGUGUUUUUUAAUAUUUUUAUCUUAAUUUAUUAAAUUUUAUUUAAUAUCUAUUCAUGUAUUUAAAAAAGUGAAAACUAUUGAUAUAUUAAACUCUUAAAUGUAUACGUACGUGAUUUGCCCAAUAAAUAAUUGAGGUGUCGAUUUUUUGGGUCGUAGAGAAAGUCCGGAAUUUCUAUAUAAGACCAGCACCCGCUCUCACAAACUUCGUUCCCAAACCAAACAAGAAAACCAAAUCUAAAUCGAAAGAGAGAGAAAUACUGAGAGAGAAAGAAAUCUCUCUUCUUUCUUUUUUUCUUUUUCCAGAUUCUCCCCAUUUAUAACUCAUGGCGGCAUCUGUUGAAAAUAGGCAGUUCAGUCACCUUGAACCGGGUUUAUCUGGCGUUUCCCGGUCUUUCAAGCCCCGGUCUGAUUCCCCGAUUCGUGGUUGCAACUUCCCGCCGUCCAAUCACGAACUCCCAUUCCAAAAGCAACCGAAUAUGCCCAUGUACUACUCGUCGAGUGAAGAUGAGGAUGAUGACGACGACAAAAAUGAAUACCUUCAAAUGAUCAAAAAAGGUAAAACUGAAUUAGAACCAUCUGUUCAUGACACAAGAGACGAAGGAACCGCUGAUAAUUGGAUUGAAAGAAACUUUUCUUUAAUUCGUCUUACUGGCAAACACCCAUUUAACUCUGAACCGCCUUUGGCUCGGCUCAUGCACCACGGUUUUAUUACCCCGGUCCCACUUCAUUAUGUUCGCAACCACGGUCCGGUUCCCAAGGCCUCAUGGGCUGACUGG